rnacentral:rRNA from 1 species
UACAGAGACUGCAAGCGUUAUUCGGAUUCACUGGGCGUAAAGGGUGCGCAGGCGGCCGUGUGUGUGAGGCGUGAAAGCCCGGAGCUCAACUCCGGAAUUGCACCUCAAACUACAUGGCUAGAGCAUUGGAGAGGGUAGCAGAAUUCACGGUGUAGCAGUGAAAUGCGUAGAUAUCGGGAGGAACACCAGUGGCGAAGGCGACUACCUGGCCUGUUCUUGACGCUGAGGCGCGAAAGCUAGGGGAGCAAACGGG